UUACGGCCAUAGAAUGUUGAAACACCGGUUCCCGAAGGAUCAUUGAAGUUAAGCAACGUAGACACUGGACAGUACCUAGGUGGGUGACCGCUUGGGAAUCGCAGGUGAUGUAA